UCCAGGGUAGCCUAGUGGACAUGGCAUCUGCCCGGUAAGCUGAACACUGUGGGAUCGAUUCCCAUCCCUGGAU
rnacentral:tRNA from 1 species